UACGGAGGAGGCAAGCGUUAUCCGGAAUUAUUGGGCGUAAAGCGUCCGUAGGUGGCUAGUCAAGUCUGCGGUCAAAGACUGGGGCUUAACCCUGGAAAGGCCGUGGAAACUGACGAGCUAGAGUGCAGUAGGGGUAGAGGGAAUUCCCGGUGUAGCGGUGAAAUGUGUAGAGAUCCCGAGGAAUACCAGUGGUGAAGACGGCGCCCUGGGCCGAUACUGACGCUGAGAUGCGAAAGCGUGGGGAGCGAACGGG
rnacentral:rRNA from 1 species